GUUUUGUAGCUAGGGCAAUUGUCAGCCUCCAGCCAGGGUUGCAUUACUUCUGUCUCAUUCUUAUUUACAUCAACAUUUUCUAUCCUAUUAAAUAUAGUCAUAAAGUCUUGUAGCCAAAGUCUACAGCAGGCAGAGGACUUGGCUAAGAUAAAUGGAAUUGAGGGGACUUUCAGAGGCUCAUAUUCAGAAGAUAUAGUCAAAUAAAGGCUAAACCAUUCCUAAAUGGAGCAGCAAGGAGAUACAGAGGUUACCAGGAAGAUGACAAUCCAACUGGUGGACAUCCUGUUCCUCAAAAGCUAUGUCUGCAUCAAUUUCACACUCACUGCAGAAAACGGAAAGGAGAACUUCCAGACUGACAGAUGUAACCUUAGCUAGAAAUCAGGCACUGUGCAUGAGGAAAACAUUUAAAAAAAUCAACCAAAUAGAGAAAACUGUGAAAUUAAAACUUAGGCGCUCCCUGAAUUUCAAUAUGAUUUUGGACUUGCUUUGCAGGAAUUAAACUACAAGUAUUUAGCAGAUUAG